rnacentral:lncRNA from 1 species
UUGGGCAUUGGGAAGAUGAAGCAUGGAAGGAUAAACCCUCUCGUACUGUGAUAAGGAUGAAAUGCCAGAAGAACCUAAAGCUGGCCUUAUGCUUUUUCAUUUAACAAGGUGGUGGGUAGGUGGGGCAGGGGGGUUGGUAGGAUGGCAUUAUGUGCAGAAGGCUUGGUGACUCAAAGCAGUAUCCUUUUUCUCACCAGUAAUAUCUGGUCUGGGAUUAUUACUGCUUUCUUGGUGAUUUUAGGCAUUCCCUUCU